CCUACGGGAGGCAGCAGUGGGGAAUAUUGCGCAAUGGGCGCAAGCCUGACCCAGCAACGCCGCGUGAAGGAAGAAGGCUUUCGGGUUGUAAACUUCUUUUCUCAGGGACGAAGCAAGUGACGGUACCUGAGGAAUAAGCCACGGCUAACUACGUGCCAGCAGCCGCGGGAAUACGUAGGUGGCAAGCGUUAUCCGGAUUUACUGGGUGUAAAGGGCGGGUAGGCGGGAAAGCAAGUCAGAUGUGAAAACCAUGGGCUCAACCUGUGGCCUGCAUUUGAAACUGUUUGUCUUGAGUACUGUAGAGGGAGACGGAAUUCCUGGUGUAGCGGUGAAAUGCGUAGAUAUUAGGAGGAACACCAGUGGCGAAGGCGGUCUGCUGGACAGAAACUGACGCUCAGGUACGAAAGCGUGGGUAGCGAACAGGAUUAGAUACCCGUGUAGUC
rnacentral:rRNA from 1 species